rnacentral:ncRNA from 2 species
AUGAUAACAAGGGGAGAGACUACCCAUUGUAGCGCCGAAGGAGCAAACAGAAAUGUGAAUCUCUCAGGCAAAAGAACACUUGUUGGACG